ensembl:snRNA U6 U6 spliceosomal RNA
GUGCUGGCUUGGGCAGCAAUUGUACUAAAAUUAGAACAAUACAGAGAUUAGUAAGGACCCUGUGCAAGGAUGACAUGAAAUUCAUGAAGAGUUCCAUAUUUUU